rnacentral:rRNA from 1 species
UAGGGAAUCUUCGGCAAUGGGGGGAACCCUGACCGAGCAACGCCGCGUGAGUGAAGAAGGUUUUCGGAUCGUAAAGCUCUGUUGUUAAGGAAGAACGAGUGUGAGAAUGGAAAGUUCAUACUGUGACGGUACUUAACCAGAAAGGGACGGCUAACUACGUGCCAGCAGCCGCGGUAAUACGUAGGUGGCAAGCGUUGUCCGGAUUGAUUGGGCGUAAAGCGAGCGCAGGCGGUCAAUUAAGUCUGAUGUGAAAGCCCCCGGCUCAACCGGGGAGGGUCAUUGGAAACUGGUUGACUUGAGUGCAGAAGAGGAGAGUAGAAUUCCAUGUGUAGCGGUGAAAUGCGUAGAUAUAUGGAGGAACACCAGUGGCGAAGGCGACUCUCUGGUCUGUAACUGACGCGGAGGCUCGAAAGCGUGGGUAGCAAACAGG